CGAUUCCCGAAUAGCUUGCUAUUGGGGAAGAGUGGCGAACGGGUGAGUAACACGUGAGUAAUCACCCCUCGAGUGAGGAAUAAUUCCGCGAAAGCGGGACUAAUACCGCAUAAUACUCUGGGGCAUAAGCCUUCAGAGUCAAAGCUUUUCGAGCAAUCGGAUGGCGCUUGAGGACGAGCUCGCGGCCUAUUAGCUAGUUGGUAGGGUAAUGGCCUACCAAGGCUUAUGAUGGGUAGCCGGCUUGAGAGGGUGUACGGCCACACUGGGACUGAGAUACGGCCCAGACUCCUACGGGAGGCAGCAGUGGGGAAUAUUGCGCAAUGGGCGAAAGCCUGACGCAGCGACGCCGCGUGGAGGAUGAAGGCCUUCGGGUUGUAAACUCCUGUCAGAGGAGAAGAAGUCCUGAGUAAUCGGGAUUGACGGUAUCCUCAGAGGAAGCCCCGGCUAACUACGUGCCAGCAGCCGCGGUAAGACGUAGGGGGCGAACGUUGCUCGGAUUUACUGGGCGUAAAGAGUGCGUAGGUGGCUAUAUAAGUCAAGGGUGAAAUCUCUACUUUCAAGGUAGAAACUGCCUUUGAUACUGUAUAGCUAGAGGACAAGAGGGGGAAAUGGAAUUCUGGGAGUAGCGGUGAAAUGCGUAGAUAUCCAGAGGAACGCCAGUAGCGAAGGCGGUUUCCUGGCUUGUUUCUGACACUGAGGCACUAAAGCUAGGGGAGCGAUCGGGAUUAGAGACCCCGGUAGUCCUA
rnacentral:rRNA from 1 species